rnacentral:rRNA from 1 species
GACGAACGCUGGCGGCGUGCCUAAUACAUGCAAGUAGAACGCACAGUUUAUACCGUAGCUUGCUACACCAUAGACUGUGAGUUGCGAACGGGUGAGUAACGCGUAGGUAACCUGCCUGGUAGCGGGGGAUAACUAUUGGAAACGAUAGCUAAUACCGCAUAAUAUUAAUUAUUGCAUGAUAAUUAAUUGAAAGGUGCAAUUGCACCACUACCAGAUGGACCUGCGUUGUAUUAGCUAGUAGGUGAGGUAACGGCUCACCUAGGCGACGAUACAUAGCCGACCUGAGAGGGUGAUCGGCCACACUGGGACUGAGACACGGCCCAGACGCCUACGGGAGGCAGCAGUAGGGAAUCUUCGGCAAUGGACGAAAGUCUGACCGAGCAACGCCGCGGGAGUGAAGAAGGUUUUCGGAUCGUAAAGCUCGGUUGUAAGAGAAGAACGGGUGUGAGAGUGGAAAGUUCACACUGUGACGGUAUCUUACCAGAAAGGGACGGCUAACUACGUG